CCUACGGGAGGCAGCAGUGAGGAAUAUUGGUCAAUGGGCGCAAGCCUGAACCAGCCAAGUCGCGUGAGGGAUGACGGUCCUAUGGAUUGUAAACCUCUUUUGUCGGGGAGCAAGGCCCGCCACGUGUGGCGGGAAGGAGAGUACCCGAAGAAAAAGCAUCGGCUAACUCCGUGCCAGCAGCCGCGGUAAUACGGAGGAUGCGAGCGUUAUCCGGAUUUAUUGGGUUUAAAGGGUGCGUAGGCGGAAUAUCCAGUCAGCGGUAAAAAUUCGGGGCUCAACCCCGUCGGGCCGUUGAAACUGAUGUU
rnacentral:rRNA from 1 species